rnacentral:RNase_P_RNA from 1 species
CAAGUAAUUCGCCUUAUCGCUGUUCAUGCAAAUGGAUGGAGGAAAGUCCGAACACCGUAGUGCAACAUAAUGGUUAAUGGCCAUCGGUCGUGAGAUCAGGAAAAGUGCAACAGAAAGUAUGUACAGGUCAUGCUGUAGUGAAACCAGGUAAACUCUAUGUGGUGCAAUGUCAUGUAUACCAACGUCCCGAUCCGUCGGGAGAGGGCGGCACGCUCGAUUGUUGGAGGGUAGACAGCAAAAGUGUGCUGGUAACAGUACACUCAGAUAAAUGAUAAGGGCAUUUUUAUUUCUGGAAUUCAUUUCCAAAAAGAAAAUGUACAGAAUUCGGCUUAUAGAUUUACUUAAACU